GUGACUUCCACUCCUCUUCCUGUUGUGAAGGUUGAAUAGCAGAUGGCUUUGAAGGUGAUGUUAACCGAAGGGGUGCAGUACUCCAUAACCACCUCUCCAUCACACCGUUGUCCACAGGUAGGUCUUGUGACUAAAUCCUCUCCCCAUCACACCGUUGUCCAUAGGUAGGUGUUGUGACUAAAUCCUCUCCCCAUCACACCGUUGUCCAUAGGUAGGUGUUGUGACUAAAUCCUCUCCCCAUCACAUCGUUGUCCAUAGGUAGGUCUUGUGACUAAAUCCUCUCCCCAUCACACCGUUGUCCAUAGGUAAGUGCUGUGACUAAAUCCUCUCCCCAUCCCA